rnacentral:lncRNA from 1 species
UGUAUAGACCCCAGAUUACCGAUGCUUAUAUUCGUCCAAAUAUGCCAUUUAGACCUGGUUUUUACUCUGGUCCAGUGGCCUUUGAGGGCUAUUAUGGACCACCAAUGGGUUAUAGCAAUUCCAAUGAGCGGGAAAUUCCUCUCAUGGGGAUGCCUCCUGGCCCCCCAGUUUAUAAUAGAUAUUCGUGAGCGGGAAAUUCCUCUCAUGGGCAUGCCUCCUGGUCCCCCAGUUUAUAAUAGAUAUUCAGGCCCAAACACUCCUGAUCCAACUAAUACUCAUGCCAGAAUUGGCAGCCAUGGUGC